AAAAAAUUAUUUAAAAAUAAUCUAGAAAAUAUAAAAAUCAUUAUUAGUCUUAUUUUAUAUAAAUAUAAUACAUAUUGUUUGAAUACUGGAGACAAAUACCAGGAAAUUAUAUCAAAAAUAGUAUAUUUAUUUUAUAUAUUUAAUCUUAUAUAUAAGUAUAAUGUACAGUCUAUUGACGCGUUUAAUAUAGUAAAACAAAAUCAGUACGGCAUACCUUAUUUUUCAAAAAAUGACAAGCUAGAUGGUUACUAUUUUUUGAACUACAUCAUGGAUAACUUUGGUGUAAGUUUAUCGUUGUAAUAAAAGUCUAUAACAACUUAUCUUGAUUAUAUAUUUAUAUAUGUAUACAUAUAUCUACAUUUAUGUUAAUUUUUUUUUUUUUUUUUUUUUUUUACAGGUAAAAAAAAAUAUAAUUGUAGACUGUAUCUUCAACAGAAUGAAAAAAAAUUACCAAGAGUACAUACUUUUUUUAUUAACAAAUGAAAAUAAAAAUCUUUCAAAAAAAUACUUAGAAGAUAUGAACGGUAUGAAUGUCAUGACAUUAAGCUCGAGUGACAUAGAAGAAAUUAAUAUUUUAAUUUUUAACAAAUUAGCCAAAAAUAUAAUGGAUACACAAAAUUACCAAUCUGUUUACUUGCCACAUGGUAAGAAGGGUUAUAAGAGUGAUCAGGUUGUUUUAGUAUCUGGAAAAGAGGAAAAUAAAGUAGUACCAGUAGAAGAAGUAGAACCAGUAGAACCAGUAGAAGAAGUAGAACCAGUAGAACCAGUAGAAGAAGUAGAACCAGUAGAACCAGUAGUAGACGAAUAUGUAACUGAUUAUGAUAAGUUGGAAACUAAUGAUGAUGAUGAUGAUGGUGCUGAUGAUGAUGCUGAUGCUGAUGCUGAUGCUGAUGAUGGUGCUGAUGCUGAUGAUGGUGCUGAUGCUGAUGAUGGUGCUGAUGCUGAUGCUGAUGAUGACACAACACUUGAUGACAUGUAUGAAAACGUUUACUCUUCUUUCGAGGAUAGUAUUGAUUAUACAAUACAAGAUAGUAGUAGUAAUGAAAAAAGGGGUAUCGUUAAUAAAGAUGGAAAAAAAAUAGGUGUUAUCGAAACAGCAGAAAGGGAUAAAGUAGAAGAGUCAGAAAAAGUAACACUAUUAAAAAAAAUAAAUGAUAUUUAUUUUUUGAAAGAUUAUUUAAAUAUUAACAAAGAACUUGUAUAUACUUAUAUAGAAAGACCUUUAUUUCCAUAUAUAUAUAAAGAAUAUAAAACAUUAUUAAAUAAUUUGCUAUUAAAGAAGUUAAAAAAUAAAAAUGAUAAUUUAUUUUUUUUGAAGAGUAAAAUUUAUUUAUCUAGUAAUUUGAUUGAACAGAUUAUUAAGGAUAUUAUUUUAAAUUUUGUUGUAAAAAUAAAAGAUAAUAUUAGUAUAUGUAUGAAACUAAAUAAUAUGAAUAAAUGUAUAAAACUGCUUAUUCAUUUGAUGAAUGUAUAUAAAAAAAUAAAAAAAAAUAAAAAAAGAUUACAAAUAAAUAACUUAACGUUUAAUUUGGAUGAUUUAUUUGGGUAUAAUUAUUAUAAAGAGAAAGAUAGUAUGACUGAACACAUUCCUUCAAUGGGUUACAAUGAAAAAACAAAGAAUGAUAUGAUGACUAUAAAAAAUAAAGAAGAAAAUCAAAAGAUAAAAACAAAGGGAAAACAAAUAGAAUCGGAAAAUGUGUUUUUAGAAUCAAAUAUAUGGGAUGGUGAUGGGUAUAGCGGAGAAUAUGACAAAACAGAUGCUGUAAUUAAAGAUAGUUUAACACAUGAAGAAACAGAUGAUAAAAUAGACAGUGUAAUAACAAAUGGAAGAAGUAAUAAUGAGAAGACAAACCUAAACGAAGAGGCGACUGAUUUAAAUCAUAUAAUAAAUAAAGAUAAGGUAGAAUAUAAUAUAAUAUUAUUAACAGAAGAAAAAAAACGGUUGUAUGAAGACUUUUUAUUAAAAUAUAUGAAAAAUGAAAAUGAACGUAAAAUUGUUAAAAUUAUUUUAAAUUUGAAUUAUGAUAAUAUCGAUAAAGAAAUAGAAGAUAAUAUAAUAAAUAAAUUUUUAGAAGAAGCAGUAACACAAAAGUUGGUUUAUUUAAAUAAAUUGAAUUCUAUAUAUCAUAUAAUAGAUGCUCAUGACAAUUUGUUUGAUUAUAAAAAUAUCAAUUUUAUUGACAAAAUAAAGCAGGAGAUAAAUAAAAAAGGUCGUCUACAUAAGACAAUACAUAAUGUAACCAAAGUGGAUAAUCUGGUUAAUGAUAAAAAAAAAGAGCAUAACAAAAAAAAAGGACUAAAAGAAUCAAUAGAUAAAAAUGAAUAUACCAUACAAAAAGAAGAAAUUUUUGAUGACAUAGAUGAUGCACUAUUUCAUAAUAUAUGUACAAAAAUGUAUAUAAAUAAAAUAUUAUUAUUGAAAGAUAAUAUAUAUAAUAAUAGAAUUAAUUUAUAUUUUUAUGAACUUAUUUUAAAUAUAAAAAAUGCUGAACAUAUACAUAGCACUUAUUUGAUUAGUCAAUAUGAGAUGAUGAUAAAUGAUAUUAUAAAAACAACUAUUAUGAGCAAAAAUUAUAUGAAUAUAAAAAAUAUGUAUUUAAAAAAAAUAAUUAAUUUUUUAAAUAUAUCGGAAGAUACAGCUAUUACUGUUGAACUUAGUUGUAUAUAUGAACAUACAUAUUCUAUUUUUAAAGAAAUCAAAGAAAAUUUUUAUAUAUAUAAAAAUGAUAGCGAUUUUAUUGAAAAUUUAAAUAAAAUAUUAACUAUAUAUAACAAUUUAAAUUUAAUAACAAAAAAAAAUGAUAAAUAUUAUGUUAAAUUUGCACUCAUAGAAAGUGACUCUAAUAUAGUAUAUAAAAUAAUAGAAAAAUAUGUUCUAUGUGUAAUUGAUGUAAUUAAUGAUAAAGAUAGUUUAAAUCAUAAAGAAAAUAUUUUUAAGUUAACUGCUAUCUUAAACGUUAGUGACACUAUACUAAAUGAUAUAUCGGUUAAAAUAUAUAAAGUAAGUUUAUGUGCCUACAAAAAUGUAUGAGAAACAAAGCAUGGAAGAAAAGAAAAAGAAAAAGAAAAAAAAAAAAAAAAUAGGGGAAAUUUUUUUUUUUUUUUUUUCUCACACAGUAAUGUGUUUAUAUAUGGAUUCAAUACGUCUACAUGUGUUUACUUACAUGCUUAUUUAUUUAUUUAUUUAUUUUUUUUUUUAUUUUUUUUUAUUUUUUUUUUCUGUGACUUUUACAGGAAUAUAUAAAAGAUCAAAAGUUAAACAGCAUAAACUCUUUAGAUGAUUUUUUCCAAUUUUUGUUUAACAUGAGUAAAGAAAAACAAAAAGAAAUUGUGUUGGCACAUUUAGAAAAACAAAUACAGGAACAUUUAACAUGUAACCUAGAGUACCAGGAUAAAAUGCAAAAAGUACAUGACGUCAUUGUUUUUAUAAAUAAUAAUUUACAUGUUCAGAAAAAUGUGUUUAACAUAUCAUACAUAAGUCCCGAAACAGUUUAUGAGUUUUUAACAUCUUGUAUUAAUGAUUAUUUAAAUAAUAAAAAAAAUACAACAUCCUUUAUGGAAGACCA
rnacentral:lncRNA from 1 species